GGCGCCGGCGGUAGUGUGUUGAAUACCUACUCGAGUUUUCAAUAAAUCACUGAAGUUAAGCAACGUUGUGCGAGUUUAGUAUCCGGAUGGGUGACCAUCUGGACAGUGUCACGUUGCUGGAUUUU
rnacentral:rRNA from 1 species